GCUUUCUUUAUUUUCAUUUAUGGAUAACCAAUCCAUUUUCCAAUAUAGUUGGGAGAUUUUACCCAAGAAAUGGGUACAUAAAAUGAAAAGAUCGGAACAUGGGAAUAGAUCUUAUACCAAUACUGACUACCCAUUUCCAUUGUUGUGCUUUCUAAAAUGGCAUACCUAUACAAGGGUUCAAGUUUCGAUCGAUAUUUGCGGAGUGGAUCAUCCCUCUCGAAAACGAAGAUUUGAAGUUGUCCAUAAUUUACUGAGUACUCGGUAUAACUCACGCAUUCGUGUACAAACAAGUGCAGACGAAGUAACACGAAUAUCUCCGGUAGUCAGUCCAUUUCCAUCAGCCGGCCGGUGGGAGCGAGAAGUAUGGGAUAUGUCUGGUGUUUCUUCCAUCAAUCAUCCGGAUUUACGCCGUAUAUCAACAGAUUAUGGUUUCGAGGGUCAUCCAUUACGAAAAGACUUUCCUCUGAGUGGAUAUGUGGAAGUACGCUAUGAUGAUCCAGAGAAACGUGUGGUUUCUGAACCCAUUGAGAUGACCCAAGAAUUUCGCUAUUUCGAUUUUGCUAGUCCUUGGGAACAGCGUAGCGACGGAUAAUUCCGAAUCUACAUAACUAGUCUAGUCCAGGAGACAAAUCAAUAGGAAAUGCUAUUUGCUUCUUAAGAAGAAGAACUUUUUUGAAAUGAAAGAGUUUCCACGGGCGUCGGAUAUCAUUUCUUCAAAUAAGGAAGAAGUGUUAUCGAAGGAUUUCCUUCCAUUCUUCCUAGUAUGGAAGAAGUAAAGAAAAAGUACUGCGUCUCGAUCUAUACGAAAGGGCACUGGUUUUUUCUUUCGGUUUCAUUGAUAGCAGAAGAGUACGCUAGCUAGCGGAGCCUGAAAACGCUUGCUUGCGCCCCACCCCGUAAGCUGACUCUAUUGCCUAUGCUUGCUGCUCGCUCAGUGUCAGUAGAAGGGAAGAAAAGAUGGUCACUUCUUUUAGGAACACGGCGAGCCUUACUUACGACUGUUGCACUUCACUCGCAGCUCGUUCAUUCACUUGCUCAUGAACUCGCUGCUUCGCCAGAAGCGACUAGUCGCCUCCUUUCCUCCGCCGAAAGAUGCUUAGCCAGAAGCGACGAAGGAGGGGAGCUGGGGAAGGCCGACGAUGGCAAUGAGGGGGAAGCUGUCGUAGAAGCUUUGCCCCUUGCUUUACAGAAAUUGUUAUGAACUUACUAAAUGACCUUAUUUAUUCUCCCGGAACGCUAGCAAAUCUAAUAGUUCCCAUCUGCUCUUCUUAACUUAAGAACGAAGGUCCUUCUUAUUCAGGAACCCUUUGUUUGAGGGGGGCGUAUCCCCGGGGAGGGGAGAGUGGCCGAGCGGUCAAAAGCGACAGACUGUAAAUCUGUUGAAGGUUUUCUACGUAGGUUCGAAUCCUGCCUCUCCCACUUGUUGUAGACUUAAGAGAAGAGAAAGUAGGCGGAAGCCUAGGAGGGCCAACCGAGCGAAGCUCUUUCUUUUUUUGGCCGUGCCGUGAAGUGCAAUUUUCUCGUAUGCGUUUUAGAGAGGUUGUCGAAAAAAGACGAUCUAUAGAGAUUCCCCAUCUAUAUCCAAUCGAGAAUAGAAGCGAGUCGCUUCCGGCGUCGGCUUGUAGUCUCUGCAGUCGGCACACGCACGCGCCCGCCAUCAUGCCUCCUUGGUUCGGGACGAAGCCAAGCGAGGCAUACGAUAGACGAAGGAAGCGCCCACCCAGCAGGAGGGCUAAAACCUGUAGUUUUGAAGUUGCAAACUCCAGCUUCGAAGCUGGAGUGCUUUAGCCCUUUAGUUUUGAAGCAAGAAUCACCGUCUUGAGCGCCUUGCGCGCUCAAGAACAAGCGAUGAGCGCUUUGUUGCGCCUGUGCGGAUACGUUUUCUUGCUGGGGAAGGCUAGUUUGAUCGAGGAUUGGGGAGGAGAGGUGGAAUAAAAAGCUCGGGAUGGAUUUUGGAGUCUUUGUGCGAGCCGUAUGCGGUGAGAGUCGCACGUACGGUAAGGAGGGGGGUUCGCGUCUAUACGUGUAGUGUGGUGGUUGGGCCUACCCACCCUAUUUGUUCCAUGAUCUAUGGGUCUACUGGAGCUACCCACUUCGAUCAAUUAGCCAAGAUUUUGACCGGAUACGAAAUCACUGGUGCUCAAUCUAGUGGUAUUUUUAUGGGGAUUCUUUUUAUCGCUGUAGGAUUCCUAUUCAAGAUUACUGCAGUUCCUUUUCGGGCGGCUGUAGGACGGACGGCCCCCUAUAGGUAGUAGGGUAGGAUGGGUGGUACCGCUCAGAUAGCGGCCAAUCCUCCUAACUGCGCGCGGGCCAGGCUUAGAGCGCGUGAAACUCAUCACUACCUCGUAAGGGCGUUGAGACCAUAGCAUGUUACACAAAAGCGCCGCUUUCUCAGGAGUGUUGUCACACAGCUGCCCGACUAGAAGAGCUACUCGCUCUGUAGUGUUGUCACACAAGAUAAGCACGCCGCCCGCCUGCUGGCCGGGCGAAUCGAAGUUAUCUUCCGGUCAACUGUCCACCCAGUCAAGUGCAAAAAACACAGUGGAAUCACGCAACGCACGCUGCUGGUUAAAGGGUAAGAAAUAUAGUGAAAUCGUCUAAAAUCAAGACGAUUUCACUAAAUUAACCAAACUUGCCUGAUGUUGAGGCAAUCAAGAAAGCGGCAUAAGUGAAUAUAUAACCCACGGAAAAGUGAGCUAAUCCCACCAAUCUUGCUUGCACAAUGGAAAGAGCCACGGGCUUAUCUCUCCAGCGAAUUAAAUUAGCCAAAGGUGUCCGUUCAUGAGCCCAUGCUAAAGUCUCAAUUAAUUCCUGCCAAUAUCCACGCCAGGAAAUUAAGAACAUAAAUCCAGUCGCCCAAACAAGAUGUCCAAAUAAGAACAUCCACGCCCAUACCGAUAAACUAUUCAUCCCAAAAGGAUUAUAUCCAUUGAUAAGUUGUGAAGAGUUUAACCAUAGGUAAUCUCUUAACCAUCCCAUCAAAUAAGUGGAGGAUUCAUUAAAUUGUGAAACGUUGCCCUGCCAUAAUGUGAUGUGUUUCCAAUGCCAAUAAAAAGUAACCCAUCCAAUGGUAUUUAACAUCCAGAAAACUGCCAAAUAAAACGCGUCCCAAGCAGAAAUAUCACAAGUACCGCCGCGACCAGGGCCGUCGCAAGGAAAACUAUAUCCAAAAUCUUUUUUAUCCGGCAUUAAUUUGGAACCGCGUGCAUCUAAAGCACCCUUUACUAAAAUCAAUGUAGUUGUAUGCAAACCUAAAGCAAUAGCAUGAUGAACCAAGAAAUCUCCAGGUCCUAUUGUUAAGAAAAGCGAAUUACUAUUCUCGUUAACAGCAUUCAACCAUCCGGGUAACCAUAGGGUUCGACCCGCAUUGAAAGCGGGACCGCUCGUUGAAGAUAAGAGUAUAUCGAACCCAUAUGUCGUCUUACCAUGAGCCGAUUGUAUCCAUUGAGCAAAUAUAGGUUCGAUCAAGAUUUGCUUUUCUGGAGUACCAAAAGCAAGCAUGACGUCAUUAUGAACAUAAAGGCCCAAGGUAUGGAAUCCUAGGAAGAGACUAGCCCAACUUAAAUGAGAUAUGAUAGCUUCUUUAUGGUCUAACAUUCUUGCCAAUACAUUAUCCUCAUUCUGUUCCGGAUUGUAAUCUCUAAUGAAAAAAAUAGCUCCAUGAGCAAAAGCCCCUGUCAUGAUGAACCCUGCAAUGUAUUGGUGAUGAGUAUAUAAAGCUGCUUGAGUAGUAAAGUCUUGUGCUAUGAAUGCAUAAGAAGGUAAAGAGUACAUAUGUUGAGCUACUAAGGAAGUAAUAACCCCUAAAGAAGCUAGAGCAAGACCUAAUUGAAAAUGAAUCGAAUUAUUGAUUGUGUCGUAAAGGCCCUUAUGCCCACGCCCUAAUCGACCCCCCGGAGGAGUAUGUGCUUCUAAAAGAUCUUUGAUACUGUGCCCAAUUCCGAAGUUAGUUCGAUACAUAUGACCGGCAAUGAGAAAAAUAAAUGCAAUAGCUAAAUGAUGAUGAGCAAUAUCGGUCAGCCACAAACUUUGUGUUUGUGGAUGGAAUCCCCCAAGAAGAGUUAGAAUAGCAGUUCCCGCUCCUUGAGUGGUACCAAAUAAAUGAUUACUCGAAUCGGGGUUUUGGGCAUAAAGAUUCCACUGACCCGUCAGAAGGGGUCCCAACCCCUGUGGAUAGGGUAAUACAUCUAAGAAAUUAUUCCAUCGAACGUACUCUCCCCUGGAUGCUGGAAUAGCGACAUGAACUAAAUGUCCUGUCCAAGCCAAAGAACUUACCCCGAAAAGUCCUGACAAAUGAUGAUUGAGAUGAGAUUCCGCGUUUUUGAACCACGAAAGGCUUGGUUUCCAUUUGGGUUGUAGAUGUAACCAACCCCCUAUUAAGGAUAGGGUAGAAAGAAAUAAUAGAAAAAGAGCUCCUGUAUAAAGAUCUUCAUUGGUCCGUAAUCCAAUUGUAUACCACCACUGAUAAACCCCAGAAUAGGCGAUAUUCACUGGACCGGCGGCGCCUCCUCGAGUAAAGGCUUCCACAGCGGGUUGACCAAAAUGAGGAUCCCAAAUCGCAUGAGCAAUAGGUCUUACGUGUAAAGGAUCCUGUAUCCAUGAUUCAAAAUUUCCUUGCCAAGCGACAUGAAACAGAUUUCCGGACGUCCAUAGAAAGAUUAUUGCUAAUUGCCCAAAGUGAGAAGCAAAAAUGUUCUGAUAAAGACGUUCCUCAGUAAUAUCAUCAUGACUUUCGAAAUCAUGUGCGGUAGCAAUACCAAACCAAAUACGACGAGUAGUGGGGUCCUGAGCUAAGCCUUGGCUAAACCUGGGAAAUCUUAAUUCCAUAAUGCCUUUCAAAUCCUCCUAGCCACUAUCCUACUGCAAUAAUUCUCGCUAAGAAGAAUGCCCAUGUUGUGGCAAUUCCACCCAGAAGGUAAUGGGUUACUCCUACAGCACGUCCUUGUAUAAUGCUCAAGGCUCUAGGCUGAGUAGCAGGAGCAACUUUUAAUUUGUUAUGAGCCCAAACGAUAGAUUCAAUCAAUUCUUGCCAAUAACCACGGCCGCUGAAUAAAAACAUUAAACUGAAGGCCCAGACAAAAUGAGCACCUAAGAAAAAAAGACCAUAUGCGGAUAAUGAAGAACCAUAAGACUGAAUUACUUGGGAUGCCUGUGCCCACAAGAAAUCUCGGAGCCACCCAUUAAUCGUAAUGGAACUCUGUGCAAAGUUUCCCCCUGUGAUAUGAGUUACCACCCCUUGAUCACUUAUAGUACCCCAAACAUCCGACUGCAUUUUCCAACUGAAAUGGAAAAUGACUACCGAAAUGGAAUUGUACAUCCAGAAUAGACCUAAGAAAACAUGAUCCCAGGCGGAUACUUGACAUGUUCCCCCUCGCCCAGGCCCAUCGCAAGGGAAGCGAAAACCAAGAUUUGCUUUAUCGGGUAUCAAACGGGAACUGCGAGCAAAUAAAACACCUUUCAAAAGUAUUAAUACAGUCACAUGGAUUGUAAAUGCGUGAAUGUGAUGGACUAAAAAAUCUGCGGUUCCUAAUGGAAUAGGUAACAAAGCAACUUUGCCGCCUACUGCUACUAACUCGCCACCUCCCCACGUUAAGCUGGUACUUGUUGUUGCACCAGGAGCUGUUACGCUAGGCGCGCCAGCAUGGAGAUUUUGUACCCAUUGAGCAAAGAUCGGUUGUAAUUGUAUGGCGGUAUCCGAAAACAUAUCUUGGGGACGACCUAAAGCACUCAUGGUAUCAUUAUGAAUGUAUAAACCAAAACUGUGAAAACCUAGAAAUAUACAUACCCAGUUAAGGUGGGAUAUGAUUGCAUCACGGUGUCUAAGGACACGAUCUAAUAGAUCGUUGUAUCGAGUCGUUGGAUCAUAGUCUCUUACCAUAAAAAUGGCUGCAUGUGCAGCAGCACCAACUAUUAGAAAUCCGCCAAUCCACAUGUGGUGUGUGAACAAGGAAAGUUGUGUACCAUAGUCAGUAGCUAGGUAUGGAUAGGGGGGCAUAGAGUACAUAUGAUGAGCUACAACAAUGGUUGUAGAGCCUAGCAUAGCUAGGUUAAGAGAUAAUUGAGCAUGCCAUGACGUUGUUAGGAUUUCAUAGAGACCUUUAUGGCCCUGUCCUGUAAAUGGGCCUUUAUGAGCCUCCAAAAUAUCUUUCAGGCCAUGACCAAUACCCCAGUUGGUCCUAUACAUAUGACCUGCGAUCAGGAAAAGAAUAGCAAUAGCUAAAUGAUGGUGCGCAAUAUCGCUCAACCAUAGACCGCCGGUUAUUGGAUCUAGCCCUCCGCGAAAACUAAGAAAUUCUGCGUAUUUGGACCAAUUCAAGGUGAAAAAAGGGGUUGCUCCUUCGGCAAAACUAGGAUAAAGUUGAGCCAAAAGGUCGCGAUUCAAGAUAAAUUCAUGAGGAAGUGGUAUCUCCUUAGGAUCAACCCCAGCGUCAAGAAAUUGGUUAAUCGGUAAAGAUACAUGGAUUUGGUGCCCCGCCCAAGAAAGAGACCCAAGUCCUAAUAACCCUGCUAAGUGAUGAUUCAACAUGGAUUCUACGUCUUGGAACCAGGCUAAUUUGGGAGCGGCUUUGUGAUAAUGGAACCACCCAGCAAAAAGCAUUAACGAUGCAAAAAUCAAUGCACCGAUUGCAGUACAAUAGAGUUGUAAUUCACUAGUUAUUCCGGAUGCUCGCCAAAUCUGAAAAAACCCGGAGGUUAUUUGGAUUCCUCGGAAACCCCCGCCUACAUCACCAUUCAAUAUUUCUUGCCCUACGAUUGGCCAAACUACCUGAGCACUGGGUCCAAUGUGAGUAGGAUCACUUAGCCAUGCUUCAUAAUUGGAAAAACGGGCACCAUGGAAGUACAUGCCACUCAACCAAAGAAAGAUAAUGGAGAGUUGACCGAAAUGAGCACUAAAGACUUUUCGAGAGAUCUCCUCCAAAUCACCUGUAUGACUAUCGAAAUCGUGAGCAUCAGCAUGUAGGUUCCAGAUCCAAGUGGUAGUAUCAGGGCCCUUAGCUAUUGUUCUUGAGAAAUGGCCGGGUCUGGCCCAUUCCUCAAAAGAUGUUUUUACAGGAUCCCUAUCCACAACAAUUUUUACUUCUGGUUCCGGCGAACGAAUCAUCAUUAAGUCCUCCUCUUUCCGGACAAGACAUACAAAGAGACCCGCCAACUUUUUAGUGAACCUUUGAAAGAUAGAUAUUAUGAUUAGUCCUUUUCUUUACUAUCUACCGUCCUUCUAUUUUUUUUUAGUUAUUCACUGGAGCAAUUAUAUAUUGAAGUCAAUCUGAGGCAAGUGUUCGGAUCUAUUAUGACAUAAGGAUUGGGUGCCUAACGGACUUUUUUUAUCUUGGAUUUCUCCACGUAACAAAAAAACCUUUUUUUAAUUUAAAAAGCUAGUCUAUUUUUUUUAAGAGUAUAAGUCCCUAUCUAUAUCUACUUUCCUUGAGCAUAAUAUAGAUUUUUUUAUUCGAUUCCAAAUUCCAAGAUAACUCAUUAGAAUUAUUAAUAAGAUGGUCCUGAUAUAUUAGCAAUAUUUAUAUUGCCCCUUUUUAUUCGCUUUAUUACUUCUAUUCUAGACCCUAUCGUUUAUCCUUAUGAAAUAUAAUAUAAAAUAGAAGGCAGAGGAAAGAGAUAUAAUGAAAUUCUUGAUUCGAUCUUCCGACCUAAUUUAUUUGAUUAAUGGAUCAACAACCAAACCCCCAUUUUCUGAAAAAGGAGAGUGGUCUUAUUCAAAUUCAAAGCGCUUCGUAAUCUUCAACCAGUUCUGUGCUUCAAUAUAAUUUCCCGGAGUAAGCGCUAUAGCUUGUUUCCAAUACUCAGCAGCUUGAUCAAACCAAGCUUCUGCAAUUUCUGAAUCACCCUGUAGAAUGGCCUGUUCUCCCCGGUCGGAAUAGGUAGUUCCUUCCCCUAGAACCGUACUUGAGAGUUUCCUACCUCAUACGGCUCAGAAAUUGCUAUCUUAAUUUCCCUUGUCUUAACUGAAUUCGAUUUCUCAAAAAUCGAUCCAAUUUCUUCUUGGGUUACGCAGAAGAAGUUAAUUACCUAAGUUUCAAACCCUAAAUUUUGAUCAAUAAUCAGUUUGAUCUUUUCUCCCACCUGCAGAAAAAUGAAGCAUAGAUAGACCUAUAUCCUUCGUCCGAAUUUUCUGAAAGGUAACUAUCUCGGUUUCAUAUAUGAAAUUUCUAUAGAAUCCUUGAAAAAGACUUUUUCCCCAUAAGCAAGAAAAAAGAACUUACUAUCUUUGGGAUCUGAUACUACACCGCUGCUUAAUCCCUUAGUGGAUCGGCUCUAUUACAUAAGCGGAUUCCUAAAUUUUGCCCCAUAUCAUGGGAUAAGUAAGCAGUUUUUUUUAGUUGUAUCGACCCAGUCGGUCACUAAUUGAUCUUUACGGUGCUUUCUCUAUCAAUUUGAGAACUCUAUCCAUAGAGUAGUAUAGGCCAUACUUUCUUUCUUCCUAUUUUGAUUCUCGUGAAGUGUCCUUUCUUCCUACAGCUGAUAGGGCAAAAUCGUUGUUUUGACGAUCCCUAUGUAGAAAGCCCCCUUUUCUAGUAAAUACUAGAAAAUUUGAUCCUUUCUUAUUUUUCUUUCUAUAGUGGAGAUAGUCGCACGUAAUGACAGAUCACGGCCAUAUUAUUAAAAGCUUGUGGUAAGAAGGGGUUUCGUUCUAGUGCCCGGAAAUAAUAUUCCAAAGCCUUUGUAUGCUCUCCAUUGCUUGUGUGUAUAAGGCCUAUGUUAUAGAGUAUAUAACUUCGAUCAUAGGGAUCAAUUUCUAGUCGCGUAGCUUCAUAAUAAUUUUGCAAAGCUUCCGCAUAAUUUCCUUCGGAUUGAGCCAACAUCCGUUACGGUCGUUCGUUCUAUUCAAAAAAUCUCCGUUCCAAAACCGUACAUGAGGUUUUCACCUCAUACGGCUCCUCCCUUCUGUACAUAGUACUAAGCGAAAAAAUCUAGAGAAUAAAAAUAGAAUUAGUUCCAUCUCAUUAUGGACCGAAAGGGGCUGGUAUUUUUCCAAGAAAUCUCUAGCCAACCUUCCCACAAGAGGUUUUUCUUAACACCAAUGAAUUCUAUUAAUGCUAGAGGAAAACGAUAGCUCCAAGAAUUUCUUUGUUCUCAACGCCUCCUAUUUAGAGGAAUUAGCCACUUCAACGAUCUUUGAUGGUUAUAGGGGUAUCCAAAGUACAAACUUGAUGGUUGUUUGUUAUCCCAACCAUUCUUCCCAGCCCUGAUACCAAUCAGGAAAGGGUUAAUUUCUAACAAAGUUUUUCUCUUGUUGAUUCCUAUUUCUAGGUGUAGUGCUUUUAUCCCCUAUGCUACCUAUUAGUACUAGUAGAGUAGGAUUAGCCUGUAAUACAGAACCUAUCCUGUAGGUGUAACCUUUCGCUCAAUACUAAAAUCUACAAUUGAAGCAUCCGAGGCCGCGUCAGUCGAGGAUACACGACAGAAGGAGUUGUUAGUUCACCUCACCUUCCCUAAGCGUGGGUUUCCCUUACUAAUUUGGUUUUCUCUCCGCGAACCCCCACUCUUUCUCGUAAAACCGGGGUGUAGGUAGGGCUAAAAAAACAAAAAAAAGAGUCAAAUCACACCAUCUCUAUAAUAAGUAAAUGCCCUUUUUUCCCCGGAGGUUGUCGGAAUUAUUCGCAAUAAAAUAUUGGCUACAAUUGAGAAGGUCUUAUCAAUGAAAUUUCCAUUUAUACGGGAUCUAGGCAUAAUUCCCAACCCAUUCUAUCAUUCUAUAUAGAAUUCUUUUCAUUCCUUCACAAAAUAACAUAAAAAAAAAAACAAAUCCAUUCAAUUCUUAUAAAUCGAUCCCUAUGCUCCAAAUGGAUAAGAGAGGUAUUUCUGCUCAGCCCAAAUUCUCUCUUUUUCCUUCUGUUUGAACAAGAAGAGAUAGAAAAUAUUUGACUAAGAUUGGAUUUCAUUCCACUUUCCUAUUUCUUUUCUCAACAACAACUUCUCUCAUCAACUAUUUCGCAUUUUCAAAGUCAUUAAUCGUCCCAUACCCUAUUUUCUAUUUGAUUGUAUG
rnacentral:lncRNA from 1 species